rnacentral:lncRNA from 1 species
AAUCUUCGUAUUUUGUGCUAAGGUUUCUCCAGUUACUAUAUGGACAAUUAUUAAUGAAACACCCUGUAUAUAGAAAAUGCUACAGAAGUUAACUUAAAACAAUUAACCAUAAAAUACUUUAAGCGCGGACACACAUUUAUGUCCGCAGACCACAAAAUGUCUUUUCACCACCACCAGGUAGGAAAAUCAUUAGGGGGCCAAAACCGAUGUUAUAGCAUUAUAGAUUAGAAAUUUCUAUGAAUGGACAGAUUCAGACAGGUGCAUUUAAAACUGGUGUGACACUUCCACCUCCUCGAACAUCUAACCGAUGAAUUAGUUGUGGGAGAAAGCAAAAUUUGCUGAAUAACCUACAAGCUAUAAUUCCAGCCCACAGGAGAAACUUUUGGAAAUAAUUACUGGUAGGCGAUGUACCUAAAGUGGAGGAAAAUGGAGAAUUUUAAGUUUUUUUAGAACAUUAGAGGACUGUAUUAACUUUUUUGUAUAUUAUGUAAAACAAUGUGUCGUUAUAAGUGCAGUAAAAGUUUGUUAUAAAGAAUCUUGUCCUAUCUGAGAUUUUUAAUAAACUCCUAAGCUAAACCGUCCUAUCUUUCAAAACUCAUGUAAGCUUUAAACUAAUGACUUCUGUAGAUUAUCCCAUAAAUUGUAUAUACACAAAUAAAGUUAACUCAAAAUUA